rnacentral:tRNA from 1 species
CGGGGUGUGGCUCAGUCCGGUAGAGUGCUUGGUUCGGGACCAAGAGGCAGCUUGUUCGAAUCCAGUCACUCCGA